GUGGUGGCUCAGUGGUACAGUGCUUGCCCAGCACACGUGAGGCACUGGGUUCAAACCUCAGCACCACA
rnacentral:tRNA from 1 species